GACGAACGCUGGCGGCGUGCCUAAUACAUGCAAGUAGAACGCAGUUGCGAACGGGUGAGUAACGCGUAGGUAACCUGCCUCAUAGCGGGGGAUAACUAUUGGAAACGAUAGCUAAUACCGCAUACUGUGAGAUGGACCUGCGUUGUAUUAGCUAGUUGGUGAGGUAAAGGCUCACCAAGGCGACGAUCCAUAGCCGACCUGAGAGGGUGGUCGGCCACAAUUGGAAUUGAGCACGGCCCCAGCUUCCACGGGGAGGAGCAAUAGGGGAACUUCGGCAAAUGGCCGAAAGCCUGACGGGCAAAGCCGGGGGAGUGAAAAAAGGUUUCGGAUCGUAAAGCUCCGUUUGUAGAGGAACGGUAACUAACCAGAAAGGGACGGCUAACUACGUGCCAGCAGCCGCGGUAAUAC
rnacentral:rRNA from 1 species